rnacentral:tRNA from 1 species
GUCACGAUAGCUCAGCUGGCAGAGUUUCUGCCCAGUAGGUAGAAUGUCGCUGGCUCGAUUCCGGUUCGCGGCU